UUAAGCAUAUAAGUAAGCGGGGGAAAAGGAACUAAAUAGGAUUCCCUCAGUAAUGGCGAAUGAACAGGGAUGAGCUCAGGCUGGAAACCGAUACAUCUGUGUCGGGCUGUAGCCUGCAGGCAUAGCGCUAUCGGCGGCUCGAGCGCAAGCCUCUUGGAAUAGAGCGUGUGCCCGGGUGAGAAUCCUGCAUUUCGCUCGAUGUCCGCUGUCCACAGUGCUUGUCCUGAGAGUCACGCUCCUCGGAAUUGGAGCGUAAAUCAGGUGGUAAGUUUCAUCCAAAGCUAAAUAGAAGCUCGAGACCAAUAGCAAACAAGUACCAUGAGGGAAAGAUGAAAAGGACUUUGGAAAGAGAGUUAAAAGUGUUUGAAAUUGCUGAGAGCGAAGCGAACGGAGCCACAUGUCGUGCUGAGAUUGCUGUGGGUCUUUGUGAGCCUUGAGCAUGUAAGCGCAAGCUGACUGCUUAUGUGUGAGCAUUUGCCCGCAGUGUUUCUCAGCAUGCGAGUCAUUAGCCACAUUUGUUUGAGGAUGGCCUUCAGCUCACAUGGUACACUUGUUAGUGUUCCUCUGUGCGGUGUGGGACUCAGACAGGUGUGGC
rnacentral:rRNA from 2 species